rnacentral:rRNA from 1 species
UACGUAGGGUGCGAGCGUUAAUCGGAAUUACUGGGCGUAAAGCGUGCGCAGGCGGUUCGUGAUGUCUGAUGUGAAAGCCCCCGGGCUCAACCUGGGAACUGCAUUGGAAACUAGCGGGCUGGAGUGUGGCAGAGGGGGGUGGAAUUCCACGUGUAGCAGUGAAAUGCGUAGAGAUGUGGAGGAACACCGAUGGCGAAGGCAGCCCCCUGGGCUAACACUGACGCUCAUGCACGAAAGCGUGGGGAGCAAACAGG